CGUGAGACAGUUUGGUCCCUAUCUUCCGUGGGCGCUGCAGAUUUGAGAAAGCCUGCUCCUAGUACGAGAGGACCGGAGUGGACGCACCCCUGGUGUACCUGUUGUCACGCCCGUGGCAUUGCAGGGUAGCUAAGUGCGGAAGAGAUAACCGCUGAAAGCAUCUAAGCGGGAAACUCGUUUCAAGAUGAGAUCUGCCGGGGCCUUGAGCCCCCUGAAGAGUCGUCCAAGACCAGGACGUUGAUAGGCCGGGUGUGGAAGCGCAGUAAUGCGUUAAGCUAACCGGUACUAAUUGCUCGUGCGGCUUGACCCU
rnacentral:rRNA from 1 species